UACGAAGGGGGCUAGCGUUGUUCGGAAUUACUGGGCGUAAAGUGUGCGCAGGCGGCCAUGCAAGUCGAGUGUGAAAGCCCCGGGCUUAACUUGGGAAUUGCGCUCGAAACUACGUGGCUGGAGUGUGGCAGAGGAAGGUGGAAUUCCACGUGUAGCGGUGAAAUGCGUAGAGAUGUGGAGGAACACCAAUGGCGAAGGCAGCCUCUGGGCCAACACUGACGCUCAUGACACGAAAGCGUGGGGGAGAAACAGG
rnacentral:rRNA from 1 species